CGGACCCUGCACGCCUGCUUGGCUGUUGGGCAAAACUCGCGCAGAAUUAGGCGGUUGGGUAGGUGACUCAAUAAUAGCUGUCCAAACCUUAUUCUUAGCCUUGACUUAACGGUUUCGGGCCACGGUGGCACUGAAAAAGGGGCCACAGUUCUUACGAACGCAGCAGUGUUGAAUUUUUGGCAAUGGCUUGAACGGCUGACCAAGAUGCUGCUCACAAU
rnacentral:rRNA from 1 species